CUGUUUCAGUGCUGGGAGUAAACACUGUGCAGUGGGUGUCUCUUGUAGUUCAGAUGUUCUCUGGACUGACAUCACCUGGUAUGUUUUUUUUUCCAGAAGGCUGCUAAGGCAGUCCAGGAGAAGAGACACUCGCCUAUGGGGACAUGAACCACGAGUGGAUCGGCAACGAGUGGCUCCCCAGCCUGGGCCUCCCCCAGUACCGCAGCUACUUCAUGGAGUGCCUUGUAGACGCCAGGAUGCUGGACCACUUGACCAAGAAAGACCUUCGAGGGCAGCUGAAAAUGGUCGACAGUUUUCACAGAAACAGUUUCCAGUGUGGAAUUAUGUGCCUGAGAAGGUUAAAUUAUGACCGGAAAGAA
rnacentral:sRNA from 1 species